rnacentral:rRNA from 1 species
AGAGUUUGAUCCUGGCUCAGAACGAACGCUGGCGGCAGGCUUAACACAUGCAAGUCGAACGCCCCGCAAGGGGAGUGGCAGACGGGUGAGUAACACGUGGGAACGUGCCCUAAGGUUUGGAAUAUUCCCGGGAAACUGGGAGCAAUACCAAAUGUGUCCGCAAGGAGAAAGAUUUAUCGCCUUAGGAUCGGCCCGCGUCGGAUUAGCUUGUUGGUGGGGUAAUGGCCUACCAAGGCGACGAUCCGUAGCUGGUCUGAGAGGACGACCAGCCACACUGGGACUGAGACACGGCCCAGACUCCUACGGGAGGCAGCAGUGGGGAAUCUUGGACAAUGGGCGCAAGCCUGAUCCAGCCAUGCCGCGUGGAUGAUGAAGGCCUUAGGGUUGUAAAAUCCUUUCGCCGAGGACGAUAAUGACGGUACUCGAGAGAGUC